rnacentral:ncRNA from 1 species
AUAAAAGCACUGAUGAGGAAGAGUAAUUACAUUUUUGAAAUAAAGAGAGGAAGAGCUGGUGAGAUUUUUCCAUGAUUGAUGUAGUGAAGGUAGCCUCGGAGCUUUGAACUGAAAGCAUUAUUAACUGAAAUUAAGUUUUUAAGAUGUGACUAGGUUUUAACGGAGUCCCUCCGUUAUAAGGGGUGUAGUAUCGGCUUUUACGCCCGCACUAUAUAGAGAGUGUACAUUUGUACAAAGUUAGGUGGUACCACGGAAUUUCGACCUUCGCCCUAUUA